AACUUCCAGAUUCCUACCCAUCAGAUGUAAAUAUUGCUCUGCGUGGCUAUAAAAGGGGGACAGUAAAACUGAAGUGUACUUAGAGUCCUCAGUGACAUACAAGUUCAUUCCAAACAUUA
rnacentral:snoRNA from 1 species